rnacentral:rRNA from 1 species
AUUGAACGCUGGCGGCAGGCCUAACACAUGCAAGUCGAGCGGAUGAAGGGAGCUUGCUCCUGGAUUCAGCGGCGGACGGGUGAGUAAUGCCUAGGAAUCUGCCUGGUAGUGGGGGAUAACGUCCGGAAACGGGCGCUAAUACCGCAUACGUCCUGAGGGAGAAAGUGGGGGAUCUUCGGACCUCACGCUAUCAGAUGACCCUAGGUCGGAUUAGCUAGUUGGUGGGGUAAAGGCCUACCAAGGCGACGAUCCGUAACUGGUCUGAGAGGAUGAUCAGUCACACUGGAACUGAGACACGGUCCAGACUCCUACGGGAGGCAGCAGUAGGGAAUAUUGGACAAUGGGCGAAAGCCUGAUCCAGCCAUGCCGCGUGUGUGAAGAAGGUCUUCGGAUUGUAAAGCACUUUAAGUUGGGAGGAAGGGCAGUAAGUUAAUACCUUGCUGUUUUGACGUUACCAACAGAAUAAGCACCGGCUAACUUCGUG